GCACUACUGAUGAGACCCAACCAGGUCGGAACAGCUGUCCAGUGC
rfam:Echinostoma caproni strain Egypt genome assembly, scaffold: ECPE_scaffold0024423